rnacentral:misc_RNA from 1 species
GUGAGGCCUUCUGACUGGCGCCGAUACUCUGGCAACAGAGCGCCGGAUGCCGGGAAGUUGGUCAAACUUGAUCAUUUAGAGGAAGUAAAAGUCGUAACAAGGUUUCCGUAGGUGAACCUGCGGAAGGAUCAUUACCGAUAACAAUUCCAAUCUUAAAAAUGGUUUUUUAACCUCUGUGAACCGUACACAAUCUUUAGGGGUCGGUGGCGCUUUUACCGUUAAAUGGUCGUCGGUCCGUGCAUUCGGCUUUCGGCCAGCCCCGCCAUUUUUGUUUGUUGACACACUUCAAUGUAUUGCUCUGAAACAUAUCUGCCCGUUCUUUUUUUUUUUGAUUCCAAAAAACAAAAAGACGGGCGAGUGACAAAAAAACAUGUGGAGACAACUUUUAACGGUGGAUCUCUAGGCUCACGUAUCGAUGAAGAACGCAGCCAGCUGCGAUAAGUAGUGUGAAUUGCAGAAUUCAGUGAAUCAUUGAAUCUUUGAACGCAAAUGGCGCUCUUGGGUUCUCCCAGGAGCAUGUCUGUCUGAGUGUCGGAUAUCAUCUAACGCACUCGUUUGGUGUGCGGAAUUGAGGCGUCACGGCGUUCUCUCUCGCCGUGUCCCUUGAAGGAAAGCGUGUUAGACUCGCAUCGUGCGCGGUUUCAAAAAAACCUGCACUCCAUGCGAAGGCUAAAGACAUUAUUUUGUCCUUCGUCUGGGUGCCGGUCCGCCAGCGCGAGUCGGCCGAAA